GGCGCGUCGUGGCGCAGCAGGUAGCGCGCUUGUCUAUGAAUCUGCCAUCGCGGGUUCGACCCCCACCCGGGUCA